GCAGGGGUCGCCCAGCCUGGUCAAAGAAUCUAUGCUACGUAUAGUAUUCGGCAAGAGGCGGUGGACUCAAGAUCCACUCUCGUAGGAGUUCGGGGGUUCGAAUCCCCUCCCCUGCA
rnacentral:tRNA from 1 species